GUCAAUUACCCCCUCCUGAAGGAGGAGGCUUGCAAAAGCCUUGAUUGACUAGCCUUGGUGCGUAGGCACUCCGUUCAAAAAGUCAGGAUACCUUCAAAUGCUUGCUCUAGUUUGAAGCACUAUC
rnacentral:sRNA from 32 species